GACGAACGCUGGCGGCGUGCUUAACACAUGCAAGUCGAACGGAAAGGCCCUGCUUUUGUGGGGUGCUCGAGUGGCGAACGGGUGAGUAACACGUGAGUAACCUGCCCUUGACUUUGGGAUAACUUCAGGAAACUGGGGCUAAUACCGGAUAGGAGCUCCUGCUGCAUGGUGGGGGUUGGAAAGUUUCGGCGGUUGGGGAUGGACUCGCGGCUUAUCAGCUUGUUGGGGGGGUAGUGGCUUACCAAGGCUUUGACGGGUAGCCGGCCUGAGAGGGUGACCGGCCACAUUGGGACUGAGAUACGGCCCAGACUCCUACGGGAGGCAGCAGUGGGGAAUAUUGCACAAUGGGCGGAAGCCUGAUGCAGCAACGCCGCGUGCGGGAUGACGGCCCUCGGGUUGUAAACCGCUUUCGCCUGUGACGAAGCGUGAGUGACGGUAAUGGGUAAAGAAGCACCGGCUAACUACGUG
rnacentral:rRNA from 1 species